rnacentral:rRNA from 1 species
CUACGGGACGCUGCAGUGGGGAAUAUUGCACAAUGGAGGAAACUCUGAUGCAGCAAUGCCGCGUGGAGGAUGACACUUUUCGGAGCGUAAACUCCUUUUAUAUAGGAAGAAGAUGACGGUACUAUAUGAAUAAGCGCCGGCUAACUCCGUGCCAGCAGCCGCGGUAAUACGGAGGGCGCAAGCGUUACUCGGAAUCACUGGGCGUAAAGAGCGUGUAGGCGGAUUAAAAAGUCAGAAGUGAAAUCCUAUAGCUUAACUAUAGAACUGCUUCUGAAACUCUUAAUCUAGAAUGUGGGAGAGGUAGAUGGAAUUUCUGGUGUAGGGGUAAUAUCCGUAGAGAUCAGAAGGAAUACCGAUUGCGAAGGCGAUCUACUAGAACAUUAUUGACGCUGAGACGCGAAAGCGUGGGGAGCAAACAGGAUUAGAUACCCUUGUAGUC